CGCUCCUUCAUCUGUCCUGCAGAAGGUUGUGGGAAAAGCUUCUAUGUGCUGCAGAGGCUGAAGGUGCACAUGAGGACCCACAAUGGAGAGAAGCCCUUUAUGUGCCAUGAGUCUGGCUGUGGUAAGCAGUUUACUACAGCUGGAAACCUGAAGAACCACCGGCGCAUCCACACAGGAGAGAAACCUUUCCUUUGUGAAGCCCAAGGAUGUGGCCGUUCCUUUGCUGAGUAUUCUAGCCUCCGAAAACAUCUGGUGGUUCACUCAGGAGAGAAGCCUCAUCAGUGCCAAGUCUGUGGGAAGACCUUCUCUCAGAGUGGAAGCAGGAAUGUGCAUAUGAGAAAGCAUCACCUGCAGCUGGGAGCAGCUGGGAGUCAAGAGCAGGAGCAAACUGGUGAGGAGGGUGAGCAUAGUGGAAGGCUAUACUACUUCUAGGGUUCCACGAGCCAAAUCACUGUCCUGCCUGCUUAUCUGGAAAUUUUCUGAUUCUGUUUUGGGUAGAUAGACCUGGUCUCAUUUGAUGGGCUGAUGGUUUCCAAACAUAGCUAUACAGUAGAAUCAUCUGCAACCUUUUAAAAUUUAUAUACUUUUUGUUGCUUGUCCCCCCACCAAUAAA
rnacentral:sRNA from 1 species